UGCCAGCCGCCGCGGUAAUACGGAGGGUGCAAGCGUUAAUCGGAAUUACUGGGCGUAAAGCGCGCGUAGGUGGCCAAGUCAGUCAGAUGUGAAAGCCCUGGGCUUAACCUGGGAACUGCAUCUGAUACUGCUUGGCUAGAAUACGGUAGAGGGUAGUGGAAUUUCCUGUGUAGCGGUGAAAUGCGUAGAUAUAGGAAGGAACACCAGUGGCGAAGGCGACUACCUGGACCGAUAUUGACACUGAGGUGCGAAAGCGUGGGGAGCAAACAGGAUUAGAUA
rnacentral:rRNA from 1 species